UCGAGUUUGUGCCGUUCCUGUAUAUGUAUGUGCUUUUAUCCUUGAUAAGUUCUCUUAUUGAUCGAAUCUUCUAGAAUUUAAAGAAAGCUCCAUAUAUUAUAUUUCACUUUGUUGAAGCUGUUUGAUUGAUAGUUUCUGCGGCUGAUAAGCAGUCUGACGUUGAUUUGUUGUAAGAGAAAAACAUUGUAUCAUGGCUGAUAAGUUCAAGUGAACUCUAAAUGUUUUAUUUGCUUGGCUUAUCCACCAUGGUACAAUGUUUUUCUCUCACAACAAAUCAGCAUCAGUUAGCUUAUCAGCCACAGAAACCAUCCAUGCACUAGUCUAGCCAAAUUUUGGUCACCAGACUAUGGUUUUGUUCAACUUAGGCCAUCAAAAUGAUUUAAGAUGGUCAAACGGAAAACCUACCGAGCUAACAUUUGGUAUCAAACUCAAUGGAAGCCAAUUUUGGUCAAAGUAGCCAAAUUUUGGUUUGUAUCCUAGUAUCCUACACAUGGGUAAUCAACCAAACGCACAUGAACAUGUCCUGAGGCCCAGGGCAUUUGAGGCAUGCACUAUUGUUUACGAUUAUUAUGCUUAUAUGGUUAUACUCGCUCACUCUCAAUCUAUGCUAGUUAAACUAUCUUAAAUUUGACUUAUAAAAAUUAGUAAUAACAUCUACGACAGACAUAAAAUGAGUGUGUUAUGAAAAUAUAUUCUAUGGUCUAUCUUAUGAUUAGGGCUUUUUCUAGAAAUUUGGUUAAAUUUUAAAAAUUUGACUUUAAGUAACUCUACAAAUCUAUUUAUUCAGGAAUAGAGAGAGUAUUAGAACAUCGUCUCCAGCUAUAUGGGUUACAGGCACAAGGGACAAAGGGAGGUUGUAGGCACGGAGAGGGAAUCCAAAGUGGCCUUGUCCGUAGAUUACAUGGUCAUCAUAGCUUGUACUAAGGCUUUGUUUAGUUCACCCCAAAAACCAAAAAGUUUUCAAAAUUCUCUGUCACAUCAAAUCUUUUGGCACAUGCAUUAAACAUUAAAUAUAAAUAAAAAUAAAAACUAAUUGUACAGUUUAACUGUAAAUCGCGAGACGAAUCUUUUGAUCCUAGUUAGGCCUUGUUUAGAUCCAAAAACUUUUUGGAUUUGGACACUGUAGCAUUUUCGUUUUUAUUUGACAAACAUUGUCCAAUCACAGAGUAACUAGGCUUAAAAGAUUCGUCUCGUGAUUUACAAGCAAACUGUGUAAUUAGUUUUUAUUUUUAUCUAUAUUUAAUGUUUCAUGCAUGUGCCGUAAGAUUCGAUGUGACGGGGAAUCUUGAAAAUUUUUUUGUUUUUAGGAUGAACUAAACAAGAUCUUAGUUCAUGAUUGGACAAUAUUUGCCACAAAUAAACAAAAAUAUUACAGUAACAAAAUCCAAAAUCUUUUCGCAUCUAACAAGGCCUAACCUUAAUCCGGUCGGCAGCUCAUGUAUGAGAACUGUGCUUCACCUUAGCGUACCGCCCGAACUUCGGCGUCUACAUUGGGCAGCCAUGUCAUAUCACUUGAUGGUAAUUUUGAGAGACAAGGUCUUGUUUUGUUUGCGAAAAGACAUUUUUAAGCGUCAUGUAAGAUAUGUCGAUAUACAUUUAAAGUAUUAAAUAUAAACUAAUCAAAAAAUUAAAUUACAUAGCUCAUCUAAAAAUUACAAAACAAAUUUACUGAUCAUAGAUCAGUUGGUUAGGUUUAUUGUAGUGGAACCUGCCUAUCCGGGUUUAAGUCCCCGACUUGAUCAUAGAUCAGCUGGUUAGGUUUCUUGUAGUGGAACCUAUCCAUCCGGGUUCAAGUCCCCGACUUGACAUGAGUGCUCGUAUUUUUCUAGAUUUAUUUUAUGAUUUAACGACGCUAUGUUUUCAGUGGUAGGUGAUGUGCCCGUCGACAACGAGACGUCUGUAGUGACUUCAUCAAUCUCGAUAUUUGCCGGUUUAACUCGGUUCUUCGGUUGUGCUCAUAGGGGUAGGAUGUGCGUGAGUGUGUAUUCAUAGGGGUGAGUGUGCGCUCAUGUUUAUAAACGUCUGCAUCUGGAACCGGGUCUCGCAAAAAAAAAUAUGUCAUUAGUACAUGUUAGUUGUUGUAGUAAUUGUGAUUAACUAUAGACUAAUUUAAUUUAAAAAAUUUGAUUUUACAACCAAAUUAUGUUAUUAAUUUUUUUGUCUAUAUUUGAUAGAUGAAUUUUUUUUUUUGUGGGAUCUAAACAAGGCUCACAGAGACAGGUUUAGGGAACUCUCGCCGGAUAAAAGGUUGAGGCAGCCUCUAAAGGAGAGCGUUGAAGCGAAUAAAGUGCUCCACAAUGAUGCCACCUCUCCAAGGACCUGCCCAUGCACAGGCAAGCAAGGAUGGCACCGGGUACAGGAGUGGCCACCCUCAUAUUUACACCUGAGAAGUCUAAAUUUUACCUGUCGUGUUACCGUACUCGCACGCAGAUAGAAAAAUGUUCCCAUACUCAUACCCGCGGUUAAAUUCUACCCGAUGGGUAACCCAUACCCAAUAGUAUAUCCGAGAAUUAUAUAUAAACAUCAAAUAUUCACACGCAAAAAAAAUCAUUCUAAGCGGCCAACAAGUUACAAACUAAAAAUCAUAUAAUAACAUCAAAUUCAUAUAUAUACUAGGAGAAUUUAGUUGAAUUUAGACCAAAUUCAUAGAUUAUAUAGGCUAAAAUGACAAGGGUGACUAUUUAUUUUAGCGGAUAUUUUUUUACCUACAGAUAGACAGAUAUGGGUAGUAUACACUCACACCGUACCCCGCAAUAUCCGAUAGGUAUAGAAUUUUGUCUAAUAAUAUACCCAUGGGUAGAAAAUUCAUCCUGUACCUACUUCUUUAUCAGGUAAAACCCAUCAGAUACUCGGGUUUCGGUACCGAUUGCCAUCUUUACUGACAAGGUGCCAACCAACAGGACCUACGCAGCAGUACUUGGUGAAAGCAAUAAUAAGGCCUUGUUUAGUUGGUAAUUUUUACUUUCGUUUACAUUUAAUAAUUAUUAUCCACCAUAGACUAACUAGUUUUAAAAGAUUCGUCUCACAAAUUACAGACGAAUUAUGCAAUUAAUUAUUUUUUAUCUAUAUUUAAUGCUCCAUGCAUGUGCCCACAAGAUUACAGGAAAUUUUGAUCAUUUUGCAAAAUAAUUCAGAAACUAAACAGGAUCUAAGUAAUAAGAGUCCUACUAUUCCAAAACAUUUAUUAAGAUAACUUAAAGAAAUACUCAAUAAUUAACAUGCAUGCAUGUACCUGCACGUUAUAUAACACAUACAUUCUAAAACGUUUAUGAGAACUUAAAUGAGCACUCAAUGAUACAUUGCACCCAUGGAUUAAACCUGGUUAAGGAGUUUAUCAUUAAAUUAUAGUUUUCUUUUUAAAAAACUUUGCUAGAUUUGAGUAUAGGCACCACAUAAAGUGUUUUAUGUUUCAGUACAAAAUUUAAAAGAUAUAAUACACUAUACUACACUACGGAGGAGUAGCUCUAAGCUUUUGAAUUUUAUCAUAUGCUUAGAAUAAAAAAACUUGAUUUUCUUUAUCUACUAAAAUAGAAAAAACAGCUCAACCAUACAACCUUGGAAUACUUGUACCUUUUUAUAUAGGAACAUUCUGUUCCAAGAAAUAUACAAAAAUCCUUAUAGAUAGAUCUAUGACAAAUGUGGGUCUAUUUGUUUUUGGCUUAUGACUUCAUAUAUAUCUCGCCAUAAAAUUAUUGUUGUUUGCAACACGUACUGUUACUAUAAUCGUGAGUGAUAUUUAGAUAUACAUAGAUAUCUUUACAUGUAUCUACAUCUUUUGUUGAUCUUAGAGGCAAACCUCGUUUCUAUUCGUUAAACAAAAAUAAGAGUGUCAAUACAGAUCAAGAUAAGCUUGAGGAUGUGUUUGGUUACACGCUUUGGCUAGCCACGCUGUUACGACAAUGCCGUAGCUAUGUAUGUACACGUCACACCUUCACCACAGAGAAAACGACAACCAAGCGAGCGAACACAAUAGGUGUGGCGGUCAAAGUUUACAUGGCAACCAAAACAACGGCGAAAGUGGUUGUACUUUUUUAAAGGCUUGUUAAGUUUAUUUUCACCUAAAAACUUAAAUUUUUUUAAGAUUUCUCGUCACAUCGAAUCUUUAGACAUAUACAUUGAGUACUAAAUAUAGAUGAAAAUAAAAACUAACUGCACAAUUUUGUCGGAAUUGACGAGACGAAUCUUUUGAGCCUAGUUAGUCUAUGAUUAGACAAUAAUUACUAUAAACAAAUGAAAGUGCUACAGUAUCCUGAAAAAUUUCGCUUCAUGAACUAAACAAUGUCUUACUGUCACGGGAGAGGUGUUCUCCAUCUGAAUUCGUAUAUUGGCCCAAAACAACCUAUUAUAUGGUUUUACAAGAUAUAUUAUAUAUUUUAGAUGCCUAGCAUACGAGCGAACCAUAGCAUAACUAAAGAUAUACCAAAAAAGAAGAAAGUACUACACCAAGGCACAAGAACUCUUCAACGAUGCUUCUAGGGAGCUAAAUGACGUCGCAACAUAAUCACCGUUGCCCAAGGAGCACGAGGUUACUCCACACGACCUUGGCAAGACUUUCACCCAAGUCUUGUAACGAGGAGUUGAGUGGGACGAUUCAUAAGACGACAGCAAGAGGUUCUUCAAUGACGUAUUCAAGAAGGAGUUCCUCGUCAUUGGCCCAGACUUAUCUGAGAUGAGCUUUCGCCCAGAACCUUUGCCGAAAGCCUGUUAACCCGCCCGAGCCGGAGGGAGGCACAACGGCAAGACUUCGUCCUCGGAGUGGUGUUGGUGUUGAGGAAGGUUAUCGGCCGCCACCGUACCAGCGCGGAGCUAUUUCCAGACUCGCUCGCUAUAGUGGGAGACGUGCACCAUCAAACGAUCACACCUGGGUGUAGAGAGUUUGCCGGCCACCAUCACGUCGUGCGGAGCUAUUCGGACUCGCCCGUAACGUAACAGGAGGCGGCGUGCACUGGCAAGCGUCUGUCCGUCGCCGCCAGCCGUGGCGAGUUGUGACGUGCAAUCAAAUAUGUCCCGAGCAGUGACUAUACGAUCCAAAUAGGGUUGUUUAAAGGCGUCCCGAUGUUUAUAUUUGACUAUCGACCAAUAGUAGAUUGAGGCACCACACCAGAGAGCGAUAGGAGGCGCGGAAGCGCGCGGGGUGGGGGAGGUAAGGGUCCAUGUGCACGGUGCACCCGAGCACGAGUGUGCUACAGUGGAGAGGAGGAGGGAGACUGGAGAGCGGUAGGCGCACAUGGCAGGCCAGGAGCAGGAGCCGCGCGGUGGCGAGUUGCGACGCGACGCAGGACUGCAGCAGGAGUAGUAGUGGAUCCUGAUCUGACCCGGGGUCCCCCGGGGAGGCGGGGGUGAUGGAUGCCAGCCAGGCCGGCUCCAUCCGCCGUCCGUCGCCUCCAUCCGACGGCCGUCCCGCCGCGCCGUCCCAUGCCGAGCGAGCCCAAUCAUUUCACAUCGUCUGGCGCUCGCAGGUCGCAGACGCAGCUCGGCCCCCCCUUCGUCCUCUUCGGCUCCUCCUCGCAGUCGCUCGCUGCGUGCGCCAAAAGCAGCAGCAGCAGGAGGAGGAGGAGGAGGUCCUCCAGCCGUCGCCGUCUCCACUCUCCACCACCACUGCUCGGCGGCGCGCCGGAUCGAGGGAGGGCAGUCGGAGGAGGAGGAGGGAUGAGUCUCUUCGGGCUUGGACGGUGAGCGCUCGCGCUCGCGCGAUCUCGAUCGUAUCGUACACAUAUACUGCUUCGCUCUGCUCCUUUUGCUUUAUUAUUCCCCUCGUCCCUGGCUUGGCGUUGGCGCCCGUGGGUUCGGGACGGCGGGAUCCAGUCCAGGCGCGUUGCUGCUGGAAUUGAGAUCUCGCUCUCGCGCGCGCGGGGGGUUUGCGGGAUCGGGGAACUCCCUCCCUCCCUCCCCCGCUUGAUCCGCUCGCUGCUCUAGCUGCGGGGGUCGGCCCUAAUUUUGGGUAUUCUGCGUUCAGCAAUCACGGCUGCUCCACCAUGCUAGUGCCACUGUGGGGGGAGGGAGUCCCUACUCCGCUCCGCUGAACCCUUGUUUUUUUCCACCUUGAUUUUGGGUUUUCCUCCCGAAAAUGCGAGUUCAGUUAGCCCACUUCUCCCGCGUGUUCAGUGUUAGACCAGUUCUCCAGUUCCCUGCGAAUUUGCGAACCCCCCCUCACCGCCGCCUGGAAUCAAGCCAUUUCUCUAGAGUGAGUCGUGGAACCAAUCCUGCCUGAAAUCUACAAGAUGGCAUGCAUGGGAGGCCUGGUCUGCAUUCCCCUGUAAGAUUGGUUCGCUGCGCAUUUACAAGCAGAUAGAUACCGUCCCUGGAUUGGUUCCACUUGGGGAAUUAAUCCCUCCCUUGCAACCCCAACAUGCCCCGCGUUAUCGAGGAAUUCUGCUGAUUUUAGCUUCUGAUGCAGCAAUCGUCCUGAUCAUCAGUGGUUUUUAUUCUUCUGGCAGGAACCAGAAGACAUUCCGUCCCAAGAAGAGUGCUCCGUCAGGCAGCAAGGUAAGAAUUUCGACUUCCCAGUUCCCUCUUUAUUACUACUAGGUACCGGCAACAACUGCCUGUACUUGUGCCCAUUGUUUGGCAUGCUGCGUACCAUGCAAAGUGCGUUUCAUGUGUGGUGGCCGUUGCCUUGAUGCUCUGGAUCAUCAAUCAAAAUUUGAUGUGUCCAGGUGAUCAUGCACCAGAGCCGCCUGGCUAAGUUGCAGCCGCUAGGAGCAUGACUGAUGACUGAACAUGUGAGCAAUGUAGCUAGGUGUCAAUUUGUUGCAAUCCCUAGUGAUUUGUUUGGCCAUGCUACAUCCAGGAUUUUAAUCAGUGAUAUGCAAUGUUUCGGGGGCAUGCAGAUGCAGGCUAUUCUUGUCACUGAGAAGUAUGCGAUAGAGAUAGUUCAAUUAGUCUGGUUAGAACUUUGGGUUAAGGCCUUGUUUAGUUCCUACCCAAAAACUUUUCGCCCCAUACCAUUAAAUGUUUGGACACAUGCAUGGAGCAUUAAAUAUAGAUAAAAAAAUAACUAAUUGCACAGUUUGCAUGUAUUUUGCGAGACGAAUCUCUUAUGCCUAAUUAGUCCAUGAUUGGAUACUAAUUGCUAUAGUUACAAAUGUGGUACCCAAAAACUUUUCUUUCCACGAACUAGACAAGGCCUAACUUCAGGAGUAUGAAUUGGGGAUCGAUCUUAUCAGAGUGUUCGGGAAGUAGACAGAUCUGUUUCGGCUUUCAUCUUUCUGUUCUGGCCAUGUCCAGAACUAAAGGAUAUCUUGCUCGACUGACAUUCUUGUUGUCUAUUUCCAAGAGCUCUGUUUAUCACUGCACAAUUGCACAUUUGUUAACAUAAAGUGACACAGCAGUUUUGUUGGAUUGCUUUAUUCUUCCAUCUAUUCCAAGACACUCUGUACUAAACAUUUAACACUGAUGACGAGAUUCCCUUUGCUGCUUCUCAUGUGCCAAUUAAAUCCAUUACACAAAUACUUUCAGUUGAAAGGUCUAACAAACAUUGUUGUCCAACAUCUAUGGUUGUAGUAUUUAUAUAGCCAAUGAAUCCUUUGCAAAACUAUGUAGGAUGCUUAUUUAACAUUGAGUGGUGUUAAUGAAAGACUUGCAGCAGUUAUUUCUAGCACAUUCAAUCUUCAGUACAUGCCAUGGCUCUUAAGUCGCCUGUGAUGAGCAAACUCUUCAGUGCAUGUUUUAUUUGCCACUUGAAAUAAGCACAAGCAUUGAGUCAUAAAUUACAUUGUGAAUAAUGUGAUGCAUAACUUGACCUUUUCUUUUUGUCUGCAGGGAGCGCAGCUCCGGAAGCACAUAGAUGCCACUCUCGGCAGUGGAAACCUUAGGGAAGCUGUGAGGUUGCCCCCUGGAGAGGAUAUCAAUGAAUGGCUUGCUGUGAAUAGUAAUGUUCUUCCCUUCCGUUUUCAGUUUUCACCUAACUCGGUUAUUCCAUUGAAGCUAACAUGUUUGUUUUGCUUUACAGCUGUGGAUUUCUUUAACCAAGUUAAUCUGCUGUAUGGCACACUCACAGAAUUCUGCACACCUGAGAGCUGCCCGACAAUGACAGCUGGCCCAAAGUAAGCCUUUACAAGUUUACAUACAUUCUAUUCUUCUGGGUUGUCAAAAUACAAAAUGGUGAACAACUAUCCACAAAAAUUGUCAGUGACUAGUUUAUUUGCAUAAUUGUAAUUUUGCGUAUGGUGAACUGUUUCACCAAGGCUGCUAUUGAAUGAUGACUCUUAGAGGCAAGUGUCUCCUUGCUAAGUUGCUAUUUGCUCUUAUAUCUUAACUAGCAACUCAUUUUUCUGGCUUCAUACUGACAGGAUAUCAACAGUCCUCGAAAACCAGUUAGUUUCUUUCUGUAGAAGCUAUACAUAACUAUCAGUUGUUAGGGUGUCAAAGCAUAGGAAUAUGAUGAUGUACUAGCUCAAAAGUUCAAUAUUAGUGUGCCUAAAAAAAUGUAUGCCUCAUGGUGACCUUUUCUUAAUUGUGCUUACAUUUCCCUGCAAUGCAAGGGGCUCAUUUUCACAUGGUGUUCUAGUGUAUUUUGAAUCUUGAUAAUGAAUACUCUAGGUUAUGCCUCUUUUUGGGAGAAGAAUACUUUGUUUAUGGCCAUGCCUUUUGUGGUGCUAAGCAUUUAACAAGUUAGUAUUUUUGUCAUAUAACUCCAUCUGUUAUAAAUUGGUGCCCAUAAUAUUGUGAUGCAUAUUCUUCGAAAUUAGUUUAAUAUUUAGAUCAUAUCAUGACAGAAGAAACAUGAGGUUUAUGCAGGUACGAGUACAGAUGGGCUGAUGGUGUGCAGAUAAAGAAACCCAUAGAGGUAUCAGCACCAAAAUAUGUGGAGUAUCUGAUGGAUUGGAUUGAAGGCCAGCUUGACGAUGAAUCCAUAUUUCCUCAAAAACUUGGUAUGUUGCUUUUGUUGUGGAUUUGUGGAGCUCUCUCAGUUUCUUGUGAACACCUGAUAUCGGAUGCAAUCAAGCAUGUUAUCUGAUUUGGAUGUCAUUUCCCCUCUGUCAAGGCAC
rnacentral:lncRNA from 1 species